GGCUGGUCACUGUGUCCAGGCUCAGGAGGCGGGGCUUAUCCCUACCAUCACCAUGGAUACAAGCAUCACGGUUAUCACGGAUAUCCAGGAAGACACACUCCCUACCCCACCCCCCUGCUGCAGCCCCGUCCACAGCACCCAGUUUGUGAAGUUGAGGGCUGGAGUUCUCCUCAGGCUCCUCACAGCUCCAGUCAGCUUUGUCUUUGGACCUGCACCGACAUAAGCCCUGCCCCCUCGCCAUGCUCCUCGCUCCACGGACCAAUCAGUAGUGACGGCCUCCUGCAGCCAGCCAAUCACAGCCGAG
ensembl:lncRNA